GGAAGCGUGCCUGAAACACAAGGACUACUUUGAUAAAGCAGACAUGGGACCCAAACUUAGCCCCGUUUCCU
rnacentral:tRNA from 1 species